AUGUUGCUCUUGGAGACACUGAGGCUCUAUGGCCCCAUAGCUUUCCUCCAGAGGAAGACUGCCUCAGACACUAUCCUAACGCACGUGAAGGUGCCGAAAGGAACGAUGAUAACAAUACCAUUAGUUUUGUUGCACCGGGACAAGGAGAUUUGGGGACCCGACGCCGACGAGUUUAAUCCGAUGAGGUUCCAGAAUGGCUUAUCGAGAGCCGCCAAGUAUUCACACGCGCUGCUGGCCUUCUCAUUCGGGCCGAGGGUUUGUGCCGGGCAAAACUUCGCCAUGGUUGAGGUGCAGAUUGUGAUAGCGACCAUCAUCAAGAGUUUCUCCUUCACCCUGUCCCCCACUUACGUGCACAAGCCCAGCAAUUUCAUCACGCUGAUGCCCAAGUACGGGCUCCCUCUCAUUGUGAGGAAUCUGCAGCUGACUGCAUGA
rnacentral:rRNA from 1 species